UACGUAGGUGGCAAGCGUUGUCCGGAAUUAUUGGGCGUAAAGCGCGCGCAGGCGGUCCUUUAAGUCUGAUGUGAAAGCCCACGGCUCAACCGUGGAAGGUCAUUGGAAACUGGGGGACUUGAGUGCAGAAGAGGAAAGCGGAAUUCCAAGUGUAGCGGUGAAAUGCGUAGAGAUUUGGAGGAACACCAGUGGCGAAGGCGGCUUUCUGGUCUGGUAACUGACGCUGAGGCGCGAAAGCGUGGGGAGCAA
rnacentral:rRNA from 1 species